rnacentral:rRNA from 25 species
CGCGACCCCAGGUCAGGCGGGGUUACCCGCUGAAUUUAAGCAUAUCAAUAAGCGGAGGA